UACGGAAGGCAGCAGUGGGGAAUAUUGCACAAUGGGCGCAAGCCUGAUGCAGCCAUGCCGCGUGUAUGAAGAAGGCCUUCGGGUUGUAAAGUACUUUCAGUCGUGAGGAAGGUGUUAAGGUUAAUAACCUUAGCAAUUGACGUUAGCGACAGAAGAAGCACCGGCUAACUCCGUGCCAGCAGCCGCGGUAAUACGGAGGGUGCGAGCGUUAAUCGGAAUUACUGGGCGUAAAGGGCACGCAGGCGGUUAAUUAAGUUGGAUGUGAAAUCCCCGGGCUUAACCUGGGAAUGGCAUUCAAGACUGGUUAGCUAGAGUCUUGUAGAGGGGGUAGAAUUCCAUGUGUAGCGGUGAAAUGCGUAGAGAUGUGGAGGAAUACCGGUGGGCGAAGGCGGCCCCUGGGACAAAGGACUGACGCUCAUGUGCG
rnacentral:rRNA from 1 species